UACGUAGGGUGCAAGCGUUGUCCGGAAUUAUUGGGCGUAAAGGGUUAGUAGGUGGCCAACUAAGUCAGACGUGAAAUCCCUCAGCUUAACUGGGGAACUGCGUCUGGGACUGAUUGGCUCGAGGACAGGAGAGGAACGCGGAAUUCCAGGUGUAGCGGUGAAAUGCGUAGAUAUCUGGAGGAACACCGGUGGCGAAGGCGGCGUUCUGGACUGUUUCUGACACUGAAUAACGAAAGCCAGGGGAGCAAACGGG
rnacentral:rRNA from 1 species